rnacentral:rRNA from 1 species
AGAGUUUGAUCAUGGCUCAGGAUGAACGCUAGCUACAGGCUUAACACAUGCAAGUCGAGGGGCAGCAGGACGAUAGCUUGCUAUUGUUGCUGGCGACCGGCGCACGGGUGAGUAACGCGUAUCCAACCUUCCCCAUAGUAGAGGAUAGCCCGGCGAAAGUCGGAUUAAUACUCUAUGUUGUACAACGAGGACAUCUGAAUUGUACCAAAGAUUCAUCGCUAUGGGAUGGGGAUGCGUCUGAUUAGCUUGUCGGCGGGGUAACGGCCCACCGAGGCAACGAUCAGUAGGGGUUCUGAGAGGAAGGUCCCCCACAUUGGUACUGAGACACGGACCAAACUCCUACGGGAGGCAGCAGUGAGGAAUAUUGGUCAAUGGACGAGAGUCUGAACCAGCCAAGUAGCGUGCAGGAUGACUGCCCUAUGGGUUGUAAACUGCUUUUAUGCGGGAAUAAAGUCAGGUACGCGUACCUGUUUGUAUGUACCGCAUGAAUAAGGACCGGCUAAUUCCGUGCCAGCAGCCGCGGUAAUACGGAAGGUCCGGGCGUUAUCCGGAUUUAUUGGGUUUAAAGGGAGCGCAGGCGGAAGGUUAAGCGUGACGUGAAAUGUACCGGCUCAACCGGUGAUGUGCGUCGCGAACUGGCUUUCUUGAGUGAGUACGACGCUGGCGGAAUUCGUGGUGUAGCGGUGAAAUGCUUAGAUAUCACGAAGAACUCCGAUUGCGAAGGCAGCCGGCGAGUCCUCAACUGACGCUAAUGCUCGAAAGUGCGGGUAUCGAACAGGAUUAGAUACCCUGGUAGUCCGCACGGUAAACGAUGGAUGCCCGCUGUUGGCGAUACAUUGUCAGCGGCCAAGCGAAAGCGUUAAGCAUCCCACCUGGGGAGUACGCCGGCAACGGUGAAACUCAAAGGAAUUGACGGGGGCCCGCACAAGCGGAGGAACAUGUGGUUUAAUUCGAUGAUACGCGAGGAACCUUACCCGGGCUUGAACUGCAGCAGAACGAUAGAGAGAUCUUGAGGCCCUUCGGGGCUGCUGUGAGUG